GAUGAACGCUAGCGGCAGGCUUAACACAUGCAAGUCGAGGGGCAGCGGGAGGAAAGCUUGCUUUCCUUGCCGGCGACCGGCGCACGGGUGAGUAACACGUAUGCAACCUGCCCUUCCCAGGGGGACAACCUUCCGAAAGGGAGGCUAAUCCCGCGUAUAUCCUCCGGAGGCAUCUCCGGAGGAGGAAAGAUUCAUCGGGGAAGGAUGGGCAUGCGGCGCAUUAGCUGGACGGCGGGGUAACGGCCCACCGUGGCGACGAUGCGUAGGGGUUCUGAGAGGAAGGUCCCCCACACUGGUACUGAGACACGGACCAGACUCCUACGGGAGGCAGCAGUGAGGAAUAUUGGUCAAUGGAAGAGAUUCUGAACCAGCCAAGCCGCGUGAGGGAAGACGGCCCUACGGGUUGUAAACCUCUUUUGUCGGGGAACAAAGAGCGGGACGUGUCCCGCGU
rnacentral:rRNA from 1 species